CGGUCCCUCACGACGACCACGAUGCGGUCCCUUGCCUUCGUCCUCCUCCUGGCUCUCGCCGUCGCCUUCGUCGGCGCCAAGUCCUUGGUCUGCUGCGGCGGCGGAGGUAACGGAGGUCAUCAUGGUGGCGGAGGCAUCGGUGGAGGCUUCGGGGGCGGCGGAGGAUUGGGAGGUGGAGGAGGUUUUGGCGGUGGUUUUGGAGGAUAAAACCUGAGGACGUCAGGAAAAGCUGAUCAUUUUGCAUCCCGUGACCAACCGACUUGAACCCCUUGUUGGCAGGGGCAGAGUAUUGGGAAUAAAAAGUAUUCAUGAAUC